AGUGGGAUAGCUGGGUCACAUGGUAGUUCCAGUCCACAUUUUCUGAGGAAUCUAUACUGCUUCCCAGAGUGGUUGCACCAAUUUGAAGUCCCACUAGCAAU
rnacentral:pre_miRNA from 1 species